ensembl:lncRNA
GAUAAAUUAAUUAUAGGCCAUUACUUUUGUAUCGUUUAUUGCAUUUAUGGAGGGAGAGGUGUAUGCUGGGUAAUGGCACAGCUAGCGACACGGUGACUUUAUUCACCCGCUUCGGCUGUUAUCAGUCCAUACAAUGGGCGUUAUUAGCAGAAAUCAGUCCCAUAGAUAUGGGCCAUCUCCACCUGCUAGAUUGUUCAGAAGGUUGUUAUCAUCCAUCCAGAUGGAGGAUCAGUAACAGGAACGUGGGAAGACUCCAGGAUCCACUCUGGCUGGAAUCCGGUGGAUACAGCAGUGUUACAGAACAGUUCUCCACAGUCACUGUCCACAUGGGUCAGUGGGACCAAGAAGCACUCUGCUAAUGUGAGACUCUGACCAGCAACAUCCAGCAAGACCCAGGCAGUGUUUUCUAUCUCCCAGCUGGAGUUUUUUUGUUUGUCUGUGACUGGAGAGUCAGAUUUUUGUUGAGGCUGGAGGAACAGCCUCACACUUGCAGAGGUUAAUACACGCUACUGAUCCCUGAUGGGAGAAUCAUCACCUCUGCCAACAAAGAAGCCUGGUGGAUGUUUGUUUACAGUCUGAUGAUGGGACAUCAUGCUCUGCAUCUUCAAAUCUUUUUGCAGGAUCAGAAAACAAAACCAGGAGGCCUGUAAAUGUUUCUUCUCCAAUUGGAUGAUGAUAAGACUGUGACACGGGAUGCCACCUUUAGUCUUGUGAUGAAGCAAAGCUCAGGAAGAAGUGUGAUUAAAUGGUACCCACAUGUGUGCUGCUGAGAAGGAUGUACAGGGGCACCUGCAGCCAAAUCCAAGCCUCCUCAGCAACUUCAAGUCUGUCAGCGUGCUGAGGUCACAGAAACAAGAAAAGCAGCUUCAGACUUCAGAGUGUUGUUUACAGUUUUCUGUCAUCAUGAUCUCCCCUGAAGUUUAUCACUAUUAUACAAGCAAUGGUGACGGUGUGGAGAGACGGUGGUGUUUCCUCAGAAGAACCAGCAGAGUCACAAAGGGCACGAGUCCAUCUCACCACCUUGACUUACUGACAGAUGUUCGUCUGCACUGCACAGAGGAAAUCAACUAACCGAGGAGUGUUUCUGAGUGAGGGAGAGAGGAGUCAUCAUCCAGAUGGGCAGGAUAUCAGUCUUGGACUGUCUAACCUGCCGGAGCAGCACUGAAUGAUCACCACACAUGAGCAUGUUCCUGCAACAUUCAGCAUCUGAUCUGCCAUCUGUGUGCUUCUGCUUUUGAUAAGUAGAGCUAUCUAACUACAGUAACUCUAAACACAUGCCAUCCAUUUCUAACGGCCUGGUUACUUCCUGUCAGUUAUUUUAGAAACCAUGUGGUCACCUGACCUAACACUGUUUCUUCUUCUUCCCCUUAAUGUUGAAGUGUCAAAUGUCAACCAGCUGGAGAGGAAACUACACCAGUGUACUGGGAUGUUUCAGCAACACGUGCCAGAUGCUGUUCCUUCAUGGUUUCAUCACCAGAGACAGCCCCGCCCACCUCAGGACCUCGCCAUUGAUCAUGAUGAUUAUAAUAAUGACAGCGAGCGGAACUAAGACUGUAAAAAUCCACGACCAGAAUGUUUAGAUGCUUUCUAAUUAUUAAUGAAUACUGAGAGCCUCUUUCUGUGUUUUGUCUGUUUUGUUUUGGUUUUUUUACCUCAUUUGUUACUAACAAAGUUCACCAAACUCACACAGUUUACAUUCUGUAUGUUUCCAUCUUUACCAGCCACACUCUUAACUGCAAUUAAGCAAAUAAUCCUUAGAAAUCGUCGUUUUUCUCUUUUGUAAUUGAUGAUAAUUCAGUGAAUAUACUGCGCUGCUUCCUUUUAUUGCGUCACACAUUGCUUUAAGUUUUUCAGUGUCCAGUUAUUUUUUUACUGCUGUUUGAAUUCUCUGUAUGUUUGACCCUGUAGACUGUUUAAUGGACUGCUUGUCUUCCUGUUUGUAACCACUGCCUGUUUUUGACUAAAGAUUUGGAUUUCUGACUUUAACACAGCCUCUGCGUGUCCUCCCUUUGUGUCCU